rnacentral:rRNA from 1 species
UACGUAGGGACCAAGCGUUGUUCGGAUUUACUGGGCGUAAAGGGAGCGUAGGCGGACAUUUAAGUCAGGGGUGAAAUCCCAGAGCUCAACUCUGGAACUGCCUUUGAUACUGGGUGUCUUGAGUGUGAGAGAGGUAUGUGGAACUCCGAGUGUAGAGGUGAAAUUCGUAGAUAUUCGGAAGAACACCAGUGGCGAAGGCGACUUACUGGACACAUAUUGACGCUGAGGUGCGAAAGCGUGGGGAGCAAACAGG